UACAGAGGUGGCAAGCGUUGUUCGGAUUUACUGGGCGUAAAGAGCGCGCAGGCGGUCGUUCAAGUCGAGUGUGAAAGCCCCCGGCUCAACUGGGGAGGGUCACUCGAUACUGAUCGACUCGAAGGCAGGAGAGGGUAGUGGAAUUCCCGGUGUAGUGGUGAAAUGCGUAGAUAUCGGGAGGAACACCAGUGGCGAAGGCGACUACCUGGCCUGUUCUUGACGCUGAGGCGCGAAAGCUAGGGGAGCAAACGGG
rnacentral:rRNA from 1 species